AGCGAACGCUGGCGGCAGGCCUAACACAUGCAAGUCGAACGAACCUUUCGGGGUUAGUGGCGGACGGGUGAGUAACACGUGGGAACGUGCCUUUAGGUUCGGAAUAACUCAGGGAAACUUGUGCUAAUACCGAAUGUGCCCUUCGGUGGAAAGAUUAAUCGCCUUUAGAGCGGCCCGCGUCUGAUUAGCUAGUUGGUUGAGGUAAUGGCUCACCAAGGCGACGAUCAGUAGCUGGUCUGAGAGGAUGAUCAGCCACAUUGGGACUGAGACACGGCCCAAACUCCUACGGGAGGCAGCAGUGGGGAAUCUUGCGCAAUGGGCGAAAGCCUGACGCAGCCAUGCCGCGUGAAUGAUGAAGGUCUUAGGAUUGUAAAAUUCUUUAACCGGGGACGAUAAUGACGGUACCCGGAGAAGAAGCCCCGGCUAACUUCGUG
rnacentral:rRNA from 1 species